rnacentral:lncRNA from 1 species
CGCCAUCCCGGAGCAGGGGGCUUGCCCUCCCGCAGCAGCGGGAGCCACAGCGCUGAGCCCCCAGGCUUUGUCCCCGUGCGACGGAAGAGCGGUGCCGGGCGACAGGUGUAGCUGCCAGCUUAUUGCAGUCUGCAGAGCUCUUCUGUGUGACCCCAUGCCCCUGCUAUCUCUUGUCACUGCAAUUCCAGGCAAAGGGACAGCCAGCUUCCCAAGUGCUGCUUGAGCCCAGGAGAGGAAGAGCGGGGACUGAUGUGGAUGAGUGGCUGCAAGCAGAGACCCCCACUGGCCUGUAAAGGAUUAAAAGUAGAUGGCUCCUGCUUGAAGCAGAAAAAAAUGAAGAUAUAAUUCAGCUGACCAUGGGAAAUAAGUUUUUAUAAUCAACUGGAAAAAUAAAGCUGCAUUUCAAAAUAUUUAGUUGUAUAAU